CUUGUCGCUCUGGAAUAUGAAGUUCGCUAUUUAUCCACAAGCCAGGUACAACACAGGAAGUGACUCUGCAACCUUUCCCCAACUGCCUGCCACAAAGACCACAGUCCUGAACUGAAAAGACCACCCUGGGAAUAAGAAGCCAUUCAGAUUUCUUACCAGCUAAUUCCUGAAUCUUCC
ensembl:misc_RNA